ACUGGAUUUAAAAUCUUUCCCAGAAAGGUGUUUAUCUCGUAUCUGUUUUCAUGGAACACUUGCUUGAACCAUGCUAAAGACACACAAUCCUACUGAUGGACAACUAUAGUGUUUGAAAUGAGAGGUAUACUCCAUAGGCUAUGUAUUUGGACACUUGUUUCCCAGUUGGCUAUGGUUAGAGAGGCUAUGAAUCUGUUAGGAGGUGUGACUCUGUUAAAGGAUGCCACACAGGGUGGUCAAUGAGAAUUUAGAGCCUUACUGAACUUCCAGUUCACUCUUCUGCUUCCCACAUGUGAAUGGAGAGCGACAUCUCAGCUUGCUGUUCUGGACACCUGCCGCCAUUCCUCCUGUAAUUGGUUGAUCUGAUGCUGUCUGCAAUCCUCAAGAUGACCUUGAACUCAGAGAUUUAAUCUUCUGGAAUCCAUAGCCACUAUGCCUCAAGAUCUCCAUACCAAGAUCCAGAUCAGAAACUUCUAUCUCCCAGCCCCCAGAUAAGGGUCACUGACUUGCAGUUCCAGGGGGAGAGUCCAUGAUGGCAGGAGAAAUGUUGCAGCAAACAUCUGGAGCAAGAAAUGGAGAGACCACAUUCUCAACCACAGGGAGAAAACAGAGAGAACAAACUGGAAAGUGAGCAUGCUCUCGCCAGAAGCGAAGCUAUCAUCUUGUAACAUGAAGCAGAAGUUGAAGGGCACAAUGCAGCCUGCUCUGGGUAGAACAGAAUCCAGGAAAAGCGCCCAGUUUCCUGGGAGGCUCCUGAUGAGCAGUCCCACAGUGCUGCCCGGCUCACUCCUACAUUAAAGGGACAGUUCCAUCUUGU
rnacentral:lncRNA from 1 species